GUUCGAUUAUGGCUCAGAUUGAACGCUGGCGGGAUGCUUUACAUGCAAGUCGAACGGCAGCACGGACUUCAGUCUGGUGGCGAGUGGCGAACGGUGAAGUAAUGUCGGAACGUGCCUAGUAGCGGGGAUAACUACGCGAAAGCGUAAGCUAUUACCGCAUACGCCCUUCGAGGAAAAGCAGGGGACCUUCGGGCCUCGCACUAUUAGAGCGGCCGGUCGGAUUAGCUAGUUGGUGGGGUAACGGCUCGCAAGGCGACGAUCGGCGUGGCCUGGUUUGGGAGGACGACCCAGCCACACUGGGGACUGGAACACGGCCCAGACUCUACGGGGAGGCAGCAGUGGGGAAUUUUGGACCAAUGGGGAAACCUGAUCCCAGCCAUCCCGCGUGUACGGCGUGGAAGGCCUUCGGGUUGUAAAGCACUUUUGGCCAGGAAAGAAACGGCACGGGAUAAUACCCGUGCAACUGACGGUACCUGCAGAAUAAGCACCGGUUAACCUACGUGCCAGCAACCGCGGUAACUGUGCAAGGUGCAAGCGUUAAUCGGAAUUACUGGGCGUAAAGCGUGCGCAGGCGGUUCGGAAAAGAAAAGAUGUAAAUCCAGAAGCAACUUUUACGGAACUGCGUUUUUAACUACAAAGGCUAGAGUGUGUCAGAGGAGGUGGAAUUCCGCGUGUAGCAGUGAAAUGCGUAGAUAUGCGGAGGAACACCGAUGGCGAAACGGCCUCCUGGGAUAGCACUGACGCUCAUGCACGAAAGCGUGGGAGCAAACAGGGUUGAUCCCUGGUAGUCCACGCCUAAACGAUGUCCAACUAGCUGUUGGGGCCUUCGGGCCUUGGUAGCGCAACUAACGUGAGAUUGACCACUGGGAAGUACAGUCGCAAGAUUAAAACUCAAAAUUGACGGGGACCCGCACAAGCGGUGGAUGAUGUGGAUUAAUUCGAUGCAACGCGAAAAACCUUACCUACCCUUGUUGACAUGUCUGGAAUCCCGAAGAGAUUUGGGAGUGCUCGCAAGAGAACCGGAACACAGUGUUUUGCUGCUGUCGUCAGCUCGUGGCCAUGAGAUGUUUGGUUAAGUCUGCAUGGUGCAUGUGUCAUUGGUUGCUGCGAAAGGCCUCUAAUGGAACUGCCAUUUGACAAACCGGAGGAAGGUGGGGAUGACGUCAAGUCCUCAUGGCCUUAUGGGUGAGGGCUUCACACACGUCAUACAAUGGUCAGGACAGAGGGUCGCCAACCCGCGAAGAGGCCAAUCCCAGAAACCCGAUCGUAGUCCCGGAUCGCAGUCUGCAACUCGACUGCGUGAAGUCAGGAAUCGCUAGUAAUCGCGGAUCAGCAUAUCAGUGAAUACGUUCCCGGGUGUACACACCGCCGUCACCUGUGGAAUUGGAUUUUGCAGAAGUAGUUAACCUAACCGUAAGGGCGAUUACGGUAGGAUUCAUGACUGGGGUGAAGUCGUAACUAAGGUAA
rnacentral:rRNA from 1 species